rnacentral:rRNA from 1 species
GGGAAGAAGGCCUUCGGGUUGUAAACCGCUGUCGGGAGUUAGGAAAUGCAAGGAUGUUAAUAGCGUUCUUGCUUGACUAAGGCUCCGGAGGAAGCCACGGCUAACUCUGUGCCAGCAGCCGCGGUAAUACAGAGGCGGCAAGCGUUGUUCGGAAUUAUUGGGCGUAAAGAGCACGUAGGCGGCUGUGUAAGUCGGUUGUGAAAGCCUUCCGCUUAACGGAAGAACGGCAUCCGAUACUGCAUAGCUUGAGUGCGGGGGGGGAGAGUGGAACUUCUGGUGGAGCGGUGAAAUGCGUAGAUAUCAGAAGGAACACCGGCGGCGAAGGCGACUCUCUGGUCCGUAACUGACGCUGAGUGUGCGAAAGCUAGGGGAGCAAACGGGAUUAGAUACCCCGGUAGUCCUAGCCGUAAACGAUGGGCACUAAGUAGAGGGAAUU